rnacentral:lncRNA from 1 species
AGUGAGUGGCUUUGCUCUACAGCACCUGCUUGGUGAAGAGCCUCAGAAUCUGGACUGUGGCCUCUCAGCUCUCAGGAACCCCAUUCGUCAGCAGGAGGGGUGCCAUGUUCACCCUGUUAUUCAUGAAGGAAUUGGAAAACAAACAUUCGGGGAUGUGAGAUCAAGAGCUAGAAAACUCCAAGCCUCUGGCACCUGAGCCAGGAGAGAUGUCGGGAGCACCUGAAGGAUAUAUCCAUGUUCUGCCACCUUGGUUCUUGCUUUGCUUGAGCAGAAGAGCAGAACGAAGAGCUCAUUGACUCGAGGAGCAUCAUGGCAACUGGGAUGUACCUGGAAGAGAAGAAUCCAGGGUGUGAUUCACAACCAAGGCCUGAAGAAGUGGGGCCUGCACUUGACUUGCUCAGGGGACUCCAAAGUUGUCUGCACUCCUUCGGAGCCACAAGGACACUGGUCUUGAAAUUUCAGUGAACUGUGAAACAAAGCACUGAUCUGCUCCUGUUCCACCGUGAUGCCUCCAGUCUCUGGGCCUCAAGGGAAGAUAGUAUUUGUUCAUUCUACAGACACUUAUUUAGGACGUACUACUUGUCAGGUGCUCCAGGAGUAUGUGUCCAGACACCAAGGUGGGCAGCAGACUUCGGAAGCUGAAUCCUUUGGUACCUGGAGCGGGAUGGCAAUGGAGCCACACAAAGAAUGGCCCAGAGCACUGGGGAGGCUGCCUUCCCAGCAAAAGGAAAUUCAGGCCAUGAAGCCAGACAGAGAAGGACAUGGAUGACAAUUGGAUAAUGAGUGUUGGCAUCAAAAAGCAUUGAAAAUAAGUCAGUAGAUAAUUAAACUUGGAAUGUCAGAAAAUCUUACAGCUUAUGUAUAAUCAAAUGAAACUAAACUUGAUAGAGUGUUCCCCAGAUUUGACAAUAAUUUUAAAAAUUUAUGACACUGCCUAUAAUGGGUUUUGAAACUCAAAGUUUUCUAAAUCAAUAACAACUGUAAUUAUUGAGUAAUUAAUCUCUCAUGAUAGUGGAAAGAAUAAAUUUUUUCCCUUCUUGCUAAAAGAGUGAUAUUAUAAAACCUGUUAUAUGUAGCAAAAAAUUUGGUAAAAAUUAUUAUAAGGUUUAUAUAGGUUUAU